rnacentral:rRNA from 1 species
GAGGGGCAGCAUGAACUUAGCUUGCUAAGUUUGAUGGCGACCGGCGCACGGGUGAGUAACACGUAUCCAACCUGCCGAUGACUCGGGGAUAGCCUUUCGAAAGAAAGAUUAAUACCCGAUGGCAUAGUUCUUCCGCAUGGUGGAACUAUUAAAGGAUUUCGGUCAUCGAUGGGGAUGCGUUCCAUUAGGUUGUUGGCGGGGUAACGGCCCACCAAGCCUUCGAUGGAUAGGGGUUCUGAGAGGAAGGUCCCCCACAUUGGAACUGAGACACGGUCCAAACUCCUACGGGAGGCAGCAGUGAGGAAUAUUGGUCAAUGGACGAGAGUCUGAACCAGCCAAGUAGCGUGAAGGAUGACUGCCCUAUGGGUUGUAAACUUCUUUUAUACGGGAAUAAAGUGAGGCACGUGUGCCUUUUUGUAUGUACCGUAUGAAUAAGGAUCGGCUAACUCCGUGCCAGCAGCCGCGGUAAUACGGAGGAUCCGAGCGUUAUCCGGAUUUAUUGGGUUUAAAGGGAGCGUAGGCGGACGCUUAAGUCAGUUGUGAAAGUUUGCGGCUCAACCGUAAAAUUGCAGUUGAUACUGGGUGUCUUGAGUACAGUAGAGGCAGGCGGAAUUCGUGGUGUAGCGGUGAAAUGCUUAGAUAUCACGAAGAACUCCGAUU